UACGAAGGGGGCUAGCGUUGCUCGGAAUCACUGGGCGUAAAGGGUGCGUAGGCGGGUCUUUUAAGUCAGGGGUGAAAUCCUGGAGCUCAACUCCGGAACUGCCUUUGAUACUGAGGAUCUUGAGUACGGGAGAGGUGAGUGGAACUCCGAGUGUAGAGGUGAAAUUCGUAGAUAUUCGGAAGAACACCAGUGGCGAAAGCGGCGCACUGGACCAUAACUGACGCUGAUGCGCGAAAGCUAGGGGAGCAAACAGG
rnacentral:rRNA from 1 species